ACGACACGCAACAUUCAAAUGUAGAGGAGAGAGAGGAGAGGAAAUCCGAAAUAAAGUUUUAUUGUGUGUGGAAAUUAACCCAAUUUCCGUGCCACAGAGUGACAACAAAUAUUCAGAAACUAAGGAAAGAGAAGAUUCCUAAGCCACAAAGCCAUAAGCCAUAAUAAUAAACAGCAAUCCGGCAUCAGAUCUUUUGGGCAGUGCGAAAAGCAAAGCACAAAUUCGAACAUUUGGUCAUUGUUUUGUGUUACUGGUGGUUUUGCCAAGUAGGAAAGUCGUGCCAAAUGCAGAUCUGCAGAUCUUUACCUAUUAUCCAAAUGACAAUUAUCAUCGCUCC
rnacentral:lncRNA from 1 species